rnacentral:rRNA from 1 species
GAUGAACGCUGGCGGCGUGCUUAACACAUGCAAGUCGAGCGGACGCACGAGGAGCUUGCUGUUCUCAUGUUAGCGGCGGAUGGGUGAGUAAUACGUACAUAACCUACCUAUAGGACUGGCAUAACUUCGGGAACCCUAAUCUAGCAUCGGAUCUGAUUUUGAACCCGAGGGUCCAUAGGUGAACGCCGGUCCUGCUGUCACUAAGAGAUGGAUCCGCGCUGCAUUAGCUAGUUGGUAAGGUAACGGCGUACCAAGGCGACGAUGCAUAGCCGACCUGAGAGGGUGACCGGCCACACUGGGACUGAGACACGGUCCAGACUCCUACGGGAGGCAGCAGUGGGGAAUCUUGCACAAUGGGCGCAAGCCUGACGCAGCCACGCCGCGUGAGUGAUGAAGGUCUUCGGAUCGUAAACCUCUUUUGUAAGGGAAGAACAGAUUUGGAAGAAUAUCUGCGCCUCUUGACGGUACCGUAACAAUAAGCACCGGCUAACUACGUG